rnacentral:misc_RNA from 1 species
AUUAAACGAUAUCUUAUAAUAUAAGAUGACUCUCUAGCAUAUUCAUUUUCUUAACAAGUCUUUCUUAUCUUACAUAAGAUAUCAUGAAGCCAACUGUAAUCAAAACUUGAGAACCCUCAAAGUAUUAGCUAAAAUUAAUGAUGUUCCUAAAAUACUGGAAGUCAAAUCCCAAACUGUCCACUGUUUGUUAAAGUUGUCUCAGCAAUGUGGAAAUCGCAUCUCUGCAAUAAAAGAAUCUAGUUAAAAUCACAAGUUCUCUGGAGCAUGCUGGCAUGUUCCUAGGAAGUGCAAAAGAAGAAACCAUGUCCAACACAGAUUAUGAUUCUUUUUCAAGUGCCCAUUCUAUUUUAAUAGUCAGAACAUUAAUCUCUCUCAACCUACACUCUGGUAGCUACUUUGACUCAUCUUUGUUGAUCUUGACCACUUGAUCUUAAAUUGUGGCUAGUUUUGUUUUGUUUCCUUCCUAUUUCUUUUCAAUUCCUUUAAUUCUUUUCUUAUUCACUGACUAAGUACUUUCCCAUACACUGCCUAGGUAAUUCAAGAGGCUAAAAGUGCAAGGAAAACCAACACUUUUUACUUGUUAUGAUGUCAUAUUUCCCUUCUUUUGACCUCCAAUGGUUUGUCGGUUAUCCAAUUCCACACUUGGUGCUCGCCACACAGACAAGCUAUUGGUACAGAUAUAAAAAUAAAUAAAAUAAAAUACAGCUGAACCCUAAAUCUAUAUCAAAUUCUCCACUUGUCUUCAAUUUUAGAGUGAAAAUCAGAGCCUCAACCAGAUCAAAGAAACACUAUAUUCUUCCCAUCAGCUCUCCUUAAAAGGCAUUAAAAAGUACAUGUAAAUCGAAUACACAAUAUGCAUACAAGUAAAUGCAAUCAACAGGCGUAAGUAAUGAUUAGGUCUGAAGGAUUUCCAGACUGCUUACUUGAAGCGAUGGGCACCAAAAC